GAACAGUUUCCACCUCCUCUUUCCUGUGCCUGGCAUACAUCUGGCCUCUGCCAUACCAGAUCCUGCCCUGACUUCCCUCAACGGCAGACUCUCCCUGGAACGUGAAACAAACCAUCUUCAGGUGGUUUUUGAUGUUUCUCACAGCAACAGAAAAGCAAACCAAGACAGACACCCACAGAUCAAGUGGAUGGCUCCUCCCUUCUCCCCUUGCCUCCCCUUGCUAGGUCACAAUAAAAGUGUGUGCCAGCAGUGCCUCUGUGCCCU
rnacentral:lncRNA from 1 species